CCUUUUCAAUUCCUUCUAGUAUCCAACUAUCUUCCUAUUUAACAUUGAUAGUUCCUAUUUUAUUUAUUUCAACAAUUCUAAAAUGUAUGGUCUCAUAUUAGCACUAUUCCCGACUUAUGGGGAAUGUAAGUUUUACCCCCCAAAAUUAAGGAGUAUCUUUGGCAUUGCUUAAGAGGGUCCAUCCCUUGUAAAAGCAAGCUCUUGUCACGAGGGCAGCAUACUGAUAUCAGGAGGCGAAUUUUGUGUUUGCUUUGGGGAAUUUGGUUUGCUAGUAACAUUAUCUUGUGGAAUAAAAAAUUUAUGACGGUGGAGCAUCUUGUGCAGUAUGUGAACGAGUUUAUGCGUAGAUGGCUUGGUGCGCAGAGGUUCAUGAAUCUCAGUCAAGGAUCAUGAAUCUCAGUCGAGGCCUUAAAUAGUGGUGGACCGCAGUGAUGAAUGUUGGAAGAAGCUGUCGGCGGGCGGGUAAGCUAAAAUGCAACUCUAUGUAACUCUGAUGUACUAUCUUUGCGCUAGUGGUAAUACGGAUUAGGUUGCGAUGGUGUGUAAUGACGAGGGAAAAUUCGUUCAGUGCAUCUCGGGUUUUGUGAAGAGUACUUGAAUCCUGUUAUAGCGGAGAUAUCGACAGUCCAUGAGGCUCUCUCUUAGCUUCAGUCUUUACAUAUGGAUAAUAAUGUUUGGAGACUGAUAGAUAACAACUUUGGCAAGCUUUUCCCCGCUAAUUUGAAUGCUUUGAAAUCAAAACCAUUGAUCAGGGCUUGUUGCUAUAUCAUUUCUAGUGUCCAAUCUCUAUCCUUCUGCUUGGCUGGAGCGGCUUUGUCCCACGCGAACUGCUUUGAUUGUAUUAUUUGUCCCUUUUCUAUUGGUCACAUUGUUGUUACUGAUAAGUGGGCCAAUCUGGACGAAUACGAGGGGAGCUACGAUUGGGGCAUAUUGGGUGAACCAACCAGCUCGUAUUUAGGUGCUUUCGUUGUUCAUUUGUUAUUGGUCUUCUUGCGUUCUUUUUCUUUAAUGAAUAUUCCUUAUUUUUCUUGAA